rnacentral:rRNA from 1 species
CCCCCUACGGGAGGCAGCAGUGGGGAAUAUUGCACAAUGGGGGGAACCCUGAUGCAGCGACGCCGCGUGGGUGAAGGAGUACUUCGGUAUGUAAAGCUCUAUCAGCAGGGAAGAAAAUGACGGUACCUGACUAAGAAGCCCCGGCUAACUACGUGCCAGCAGCCGCGGUAAUACGUAGGGGGCAAGCGUUAUCCGGAUUUACUGGGUGUAAAGGGAGCGUAGACGGCUAAUCAAGUCAGAAGUGAAAACCCAGGGCUCAACCUUGGGACUGCUUUUGAAACUGAGUAGCUAGAGUGCAGGAGAGG